GACGAACGCUGGCGGCGUGCUUAACACAUGCAAGUCGAACGGAAAGGCCCUGCUUGCAGGGUAUUCUCGAGGCGAACGGGUGUGUAUCACGUGGGUGAUCCGCCCUCCACUUCUGGGUAAGCCUUCAGAACUGUGUCUAUUACCCGAUAUGAGCGCUCCUUCUGGUUAGUGUUGGAAAGUUUUUUCGGUCUAGGAUGAGCUCGCGGCCUAUCAGCUUGUUGGUGGGGUAAUGGCCUACCAAGGCGGCGACGGGUAGCCGGCCUGAGAGGGUGGACGGCCACAUUGGGACUGAGAUACGGCCCAGACUCCUACGGGAGGCAGCAGUGGGGAAUAUUGCACAAUGGGCGGAAGCCUGAUGCAGCGACGCCGCGUGCGGGAUGACGGCCUUCGGGUUGUAAACUGCUUUCGCUAGGGACGAAGCUUUUGGUGACGUUACCUAGAUAGGAAGAACCGGUUACCUACUG
rnacentral:rRNA from 1 species